rnacentral:rRNA from 1 species
AUGUCACAUUCCAUAAAAAAUUACGAUACAUGUAUAGGAUGCACUCAAUGUGUACGAGCUUGUCCAACAGAUGUAUUAGAAAUGAUACCCUGGGAUGGAUGUAAAGCCAAGCAAAUUGCUUCUGCGCCGAGAACCGAAGAUUGUGUGGGUUGUAAGAGAUGUGAAUCUGCCUGCCCGCCAGACUUUUAA